AUAUAUAUAUAUAUAUAUAUAUAUACACACAUAUAUAUAUAUAUGUAUGUAUGCUUAUAUAUCUGUAUGUGUAUAUCUAUCUACCUAUAUAUCAAUAGGUCUAUAUUGAUCGAUAUUAAAAGUGCCGUCGGGUUAAAUAUGGUUUCACCAAUGGGUAAGUCUAUCGGUAAGAUGUGAGUGUGAGUGUCUAGGUUCUGAUGUGAGGGUCUUAGGUUCUGCUGUGAGGGUCUAGGUUCUGAUGUGAGGGUCUAGGUUCUGCUCAUCUCCGUUUCAAAGGGACAACAGUCGCCGUCCUUCGUUAAUCUCUUAAACCGGAAGGAAAAACAAAAUGUGUUUCUAUGAACCUAGAGACAUGCAUUUGCAUCUCUGUUAAUACAAGUAAUAAGCGUCUGGAGUUAAUUAGGGGAUCUACCCCCACCUAACCGAUAAAACAACUAUGACAAAUAAUAAAUCUGCGAUUCUGUGAAGUGUUGCAGGAUGCGGCGGUGUUCAGACGUUUCCUGACAUGGCGCUCUUCACCGGUUUAUAUAGGAUAGCGCCG
rnacentral:lncRNA from 1 species